rfam:Oryza glaberrima chromosome 9 Oglab09_0099_1, whole genome shotgun sequence.
GGAGAGAUGGCCGAGCGGUUCAAGGCGUAGCAUUGGAACUGCUAUCUAGGCUUUUGUUUACCGAGGGUUCGAAUCCCUCUCUUUCCG